rnacentral:piRNA from 1 species
UAAACCGUCAGUCAAAUUGGGCACAGCGGC